rnacentral:other from 21 species
UUUGGACUACCUUGUUGGUGAAGACCUUCCUUAAGUGCUCUGAUCUGACUCUUUUUCGACUUGUGGAGACUGUCGUGACGGUGAAGUAAACCAGUCUAGUAACUGGAAAUGGAACCUCGCUUUGACUCCUCUUCUGGUUAAUCCAGGUCGAUGCUCUGAGGUCUCACGGCAAGGUGGUCUUGUA